AACGUAGGAGACAAACGUUAUCCGGAGUUACUGGGCGUAAAGGGCGUGCAGGCGGUUUGUUAAGUCUGGCGUGAAAGCUCUCGGCUAAACCGGGAGAGGUCGUUGGAUACUGGCAAACUGGAGGAUGGUAGAGGCGUGUGGAAUUCCGGGUGUAGUGGUGAAAUGCGUAGAGAUCCGGAGGAACACCAGUGGCGAAGGCGGCUCACUGGCCCGGUACUGACGCUGAGGUGCGAAAGCGUGGGGAGCAAACAGG
rnacentral:rRNA from 1 species